rnacentral:rRNA from 1 species
UGGGGGAUAUUGCACAAUGGGGGGAACCCUGAUGCAGCGACGCCGCGUGAGCGAUGAAGUAUUUCGGUAUGUAAAGCUCUAUCAGCAGGGAAGAAAAUGACGGUACCUGACUAAGAAGCCCCGGCUAACUACGUGCCAGCAGCCGCGGUAAUACGUAGGGGGCAAGCGUUAUCCGGAUUUACUGGGUGUAAAGGGAGCGUAGACGGCUGUGCAAGUCUGAAGUGAAAGGCAAGGGCUCAACCUUUGGACUGCUUUGGAAACUGUGCAGCUAGAGUGUCGGAGAGGCAAGUGGAAUUCCUAGUG